AACGAACGCUGGCGGCAUGCCUAACACAUGCAAGUCGAACGAGACCUUCGGGUCUAGUGGCGCACGGGUGCGUAACGCGUGGGAACCUGCCCUUAGGUUCGGAAUAACUCCCCGAAAGGGGUGCUAAUACCGGAUAAUGUCUUCGGACCAAAGAUUUAUCGCCUUUGGAUGGGCCCGCGUUGGAUUAGCUAGUUGGUAGGGUAAAAGCCUACCAAGGCGACGAUCCAUAGCUGGUCUGAGAGGAUGAUCAGCCACACUGGGACUGAGACACGGCCCAGACACGUACGGAAGGCAGAAGAAGGGAAGAUUGCUCAAUGGGGGAAAGGCGGACGGAGGAAAGACGCGUGAGUGAUGAAGGGUUUCGGAGCGUAAAAUGAUGGGAGUAGGAAAGAACAAAUGUGUAAGUAACUAGGCACGGCUUGACGGUACCUAAUAAGAAAGCCACGGCUAACUACGUG
rnacentral:rRNA from 1 species